UUCAUCGUUAUGAAUCAAUUCAUCAUUUUAUUUGUUAUUAUUUCACUCAUUUUGAGAGGCAUUUAAUUUUCCUCAUGCAGUACCUAAUAAUGAUAUUGACUGCAGUAAUGAUGUUCCUCAAAUAAAAUGCAUUCAGAUAUUUCAGCUUUUGUUAGUGUAACAUUUCACACAUUUUUCAGCCAAGCCUUGCAAUAACCAUUGCUUUGAAUUGCAAUAUGGUCCAGCUGCGUCUUGUCCAGCUAAUACCGCUACGCCCAUUCCUCCUUACUAGACCGCCCUCACAGUAACGCCCCUUUGGCUGUUCAAGUUUCUAAAGUCAGUGACAUGCUGCCGAAUGACAACACUUGUAAGCGCCGCGCGGGACUUAUUAAAACGACUGGAUGGAUUUCGCUGGAUGGAUUUCGCUGCAGCGAUCACUCAACUGUCGAUAUAAGAAGUUGGGGUUGGGGUUGAUGAUCCACAUGAUGGUGAUGGACCAGGACAGCUCUGGACCUCCUGACUGGCAGCUCCAUCCUCAACCUCCCUUCCUGUCCUUAAACACAUGUGCAGGCAGAGGCAGUUUUCUGAAGGAUGGUUAAUGUCAGUAUCAACAUGUUGUGAUGGAGGCUUCCACCUGAGCUGAACACAGAAACUUGCACACAGUGAUGGAAGCAGUCGUUCCUGUUCAGCAUUGAUAUGCCGGUAAUGGGUUUGAUGAGCCACAGCGUGGUGAUGGGCAAUCAGCAUCAGGACCAGGGCCGCUCACAAGGAGAACCUCCUGCCCUGCCUCUUCAUCCUCAACCUCCAAUCUUCCUGCUCUUCACACAUGUGCAGGCACAGAGCCAGUUUUCAGAGGGAGGGCUGAUGACACCAGCAACUUCGGAUCUGAACCGGAUCAACCCAGCACCAACCACUGUGCCGCUCCUCCUCUGCCAACUGCACCACAUGGCUCCACCAUCUCAAAAAGGCACAGACACUACUCCACUUCCUGCGAAGGAUGAGAGAAGAGCCGACCUCCCCACAACGGCACUCACCACCUUCUACAGGGGUGUCAUUGAGAGCAUCCUGACCAGCAGCCUCUCUGUCUGGCAUGGCAGCCGUCAAGCUGAAGACUAGAAGGCAGUACAGAGAGUGGUGAGGACAGCAGAAAAGCUCAUAAGAUCACCCCUACCUGUUCUCCCUACUACCACCAGGGAAGCGCUAGCCCAGCAUGCGGUGCUGCAAAAGCACACUGGGAAACGACUUCUUUCCACAAGCCAUCAGACUCCUCAACGCACUGAAGAAAACCACAUGAAUAACCAAGGACACGGGAGAAUAUUCCAUGAACACUUCUUUCACCAUGCCACUUACACUUAACUCAUUGCACCUUGUAUACAGCAUCUUCACACCACCUGUAUGAACUCCUCCUGCCGUGUGUGUGUGUGUGUGUGUGUCCACUGUGUUUGUGUAUUUAUUGUCCAUCAGUAUGUUAAUCUUAUUAUUGCACACUGUUUGGGUGUCUGUAUUUAUAGUAUGUAUCAGUCUAUAUUUAAUGCCAAUGCCUUAUUUUUAGUUAUUAGUUAAAUGCACAUUGGAGACUGGUCAAACACAAUUUCAAACUUUGUGUUAACCCUCUUGUUGACCGUUCACACUUCAUAGUGUAAAAGUAAACAGAAAUAAAUUCACAUUUCAUUCCUG